GACGAACGCUGGCGGCGUGCUUAACACAUGCAAGUCGAGCGGUAAGGCCCUUUCGGGGGUACGACGAGCGGCGAACGGGUGAGUAACACGUGGGUGACCUGCCCUUAGCUCUGGGAUAAGCCUGGGAAACUGGGUCUAAUACCGGAUAUGACUCCAUAACGCAUGUUGUGGGGUGGAAAGCCUUGUGCGGCUAGGGAUGGGCCCGCGGCCUAUCAGCUUGUUGGUGGGGUGAUGGCCACCAAGGCGACGACGGGUAGCCGGCCUGAGAGGGCGACCGGCCACACUGGGACUGAGACACGGCCCAGACUCCUACGGGAGGCAGCAGUGGGGAACCUUGCGCAAUGGCGAAAGCCUGACGCAGCGACGCCGCGUGGGGA
rnacentral:rRNA from 1 species